AUGGGGGAGAUGGUGCAGCCGUUUGUAAUCCUUUUUAGACGUCUCCCACCAGGAUAUACGAGUCAUGGAAACUCUGUCACUCACACAAUGCCACCAGAAGUGAAGACAGCAGAAGAAGAUUCUGUGACUUUUAACUACACCUAUUAUACUACAGUGAACACCUAUCGUUUAUAUUUUUACCGACAACGGCCAGGACAAAGUCUGGAGUACAUACUGUACAAAGGUGGUGGUGGAGAUGACAAUUUUGCCGAAUUUGCGAAAAGUCGCUUCAAAAUCUCUCUGGAGACGGGCAAAAAAAAAUUCAGCGUCACCGUCUCAAAGCUGCAACUGGGCGACUCUGCAGUUUAUUACUGUGCCCUAAGGCACACAGUAAUGUAUUCCAGUUAA